CUGUUACUCUCCACACUUAUUUAGACAACACCACCAAACUUAUCUUAUUAUGGAACAUAUGUAAUUAUUAUGACUGAUAUAGAUGAUAGGGGCUGCGCGAACCCAAACCCCAUCUUCCACAAACAAUGACGUACAUAGGCUCUUCCACUUGGGAAGAUCUUAGGCUAAGCAAGUCACUAGCCUAGGCCACUCGUUUUCUUGAUCCUGAGUUGACUCCGUCCAGUCCAGGUAAGUUUUUUUCUCGCGUCCGGUUCUCUACCAUUUUUACUCCUCAUUGUCUUCCCCACUCAUUGCUUUAGGGUAUAAGCCGUGUGGGACUUUGAUUUUGGAGGGGUCAACAACAUCAG